rnacentral:lncRNA from 1 species
ACUCUGGGCCCUGGUGGAAGAGUGGGCAACCCUGAUGGGCACUGCUGUCACCAAACCUCUGAAGAGUGGAGCUCUGCUCUGAGCCCAUGAAGCUCUGGCCCCACAUACCUGCCUGAUCUGCCUGAAGCCCUCGGGUGGCACACUGGCGAAGAUGUUGCACUCAGGUCUUGCCAGGAUCUGGAAGGCAAUGGCGCAGUGGUGGUUCUCCAGCGGUGAGAUGUCGUUGUAGCGCACAGCGAGUUCCGUGCGGGCAUUGAUCUGGUAUCUAGGGUACGUGGAGAGAGCGGGAGGCUCAGACGCAUGAACACUGGCUUUGGCAUGUCA